GUGACCUCAAAUCAGGUAGGACUACCCGCUGAACUUAAGCAUAUCAAUAAGCGGAGGAAAAGAAACUAACAAGGAUUCCCCUAGUAACUGCGAGUGAAGCGGGAAAAGCUCAAAUUUAAAAUCUGGCAGUCUUUGGCUGUCCGAGUUGUAUCUAGAGAAGUGUUAUCCGCGCUGGACCGUGUACAAGUCUCCUGGAAUGGAGCAUCAUAGAGGG
rnacentral:rRNA from 1 species